GAUGAACGCUGGCGGCGUGCUUUACACAUGCAAGUUGAACGGACAAACAAGAGUGCUUGCACUUUUGUUUGUUAGUAGCGGACGGGUGAGUAACACGUGGAUAAUCUGCCUUAAGCAAAGGAAUAACGCCGAGAAAUCAGCGCUAAAACCUUAUAAGCUCACGAGAUGGCAUCGUUUCGGGAGAAAAUAUUUAUAGGCUUAAGAGGAGUCCGCGACUGCUUAGCUAGUUGGCAGGGUAACGGCCUACCAAGGCGACGAUCAGUAGCCGGCCUGAGAGGGCGGACGGCCACAUUGGGACUGAGACACGGCCCAGACUCCUACGGGAGGCAGCAGUGGGGAAUAUUGCACAAUGGACGCAAGUCUGAUGCAGCAACGCCGCGUGGAGGAUGAAGGUCUUCGGAUUGUAAACUUCUAUCGACAGGGACGAAUCAAAUGACGGUACCUGAGUAAGAAGCACCGGCUAACUACGUGCCAGCCGCCGCAGUAACAC
rnacentral:rRNA from 1 species